CCUCCCUCCGUCGCAGCCGCCAGACGCCGCCGCUGCCCCUCCCUCCGUCACAGCCGACAGCCAAGGGACAACAAGCUGCGAGAACCUCUAUGACAGUUGCAGUGUAAAGUCUGCCGUCCAAAGGGUUUUGGGGGCCUUGGCAUUGCUGAUCUUGCCACCCAAGGACGUACCCUUUUCUUUGGCUCCGCUGGCUGUGGUUGGCAUGGGUGGACGAGACCAAGCCUUGGCAGGGACUGGUGACUCCAUCUGACCAGGAGACGGCGGCAAUAUUCAGAGCAGUAAACCGCCUUACGGUUGGAGAUGGUAUGAAGAUUUCGCCAGUUUUGGUGCACAAGAGUCCCAAAUUUGUAUAAUUGUUGUAAUUUUGCGUUGAUACAAUAGUGAGUAGGUGAUGUAGCUAACAGACUUUGGAGGCUUCAGAUGUAUGUAAAGCUGGUAAAGUUUUCGUGUUGAUGAAUUGAAAACUUUUGAAAUUUUCAUU